GCCAGACUGGAGAGGUGGUAUGUCUGCUUUUGGGUUUCCAGGAAAGGGGUCACACAACACCACAGGUUGAGAAAUGUUUCCUGCUGCGGAGGGAAGGCCUACGACCCCAGCAGUGGACAGAUGAAGUGCUGUGCAGGGACUCUGUACAACCUGCAGGUUCAGGACAGGCUCCCAGGUGAGGCCCAGUGCUGUGGGAGUGUCCUGAUGGAGGCCGGCUCCACCCAGACCUGCUGUUCUGCCCAAGGGCUAGACCUGCUCUACCCUACCCAGCCAGGGUUCACCUGCUGUGGGCACCGCUAUCCCAAUGCCUCCCUGUGGUCUUGCUGCGCCGGGGUCCUGCACCCAAGGCCUGAACCACACAACACCACCAAUAACGUGAUUCCAGGACCCAGACUUCUACCACUGGGGGAUCUGAAGACUGAAGUCCUGUGUCACAGCAGAAUUCUGGUAGGGACAGUGGAGAGUGUGUCCAUGAAGAUCAAUAAGCGGUCCAUCGUGAUGGUGAACGCCAUGUACAUGCUGGCCUCGCGUGGCCAUGUCAGCGCCGUGCCUUCCCCUCACUACGUCACAUUACCCGACCACUGCAGCUUCCCUGAACUGGUGCCGGGCAACACUUACAUCUGGGUGAAAAAUAAUUUCUCAGGCACCAUAAGAUUCAUCUCUGAUCUCAGCGACGAUUCCUUCCCUCUCCAUUCCAUCCUUACCAUGUGCUGAACCUUUUUCUUGCCCAGAGUAAAGCUCUACAUAAUGUUUGAAAGCUUUACAGUGUUUGUUUGCAAGUACAUUGUUAACAAUCAACGGUGUAAUAAAAAGCUCAUCUUGGGUUCAGAUGGGGUUCGACAAGUAGACAAUGUGUGUGAAGUGAAUAUCACAUUGUGCAGGAAAAAAAGCCUAUUUUAACCAAGCAUUUGUGUGUAGGUGUAUGACUUCACCAUGCAUCAAUUCAGGUGGUUUUGUGGGGGGUGGUUGCCUUUUUCCCAUCAUCAUACACGUACCACAUUAUCUGAUACUUGAUCACAGGAUCACAUUUUUGUUUGAUUAUUUCACUGCCAUACUGUGUUUGAUCUUGUCUAGCCAACUUGUCUCAAGUCCCAGACUUUAUUGUGUGUCAUCCUCAAUGUUUUUAUUCAUUUUAUUCAGAUGUUAUGAAUUUUGUCUUGUUGCUUUUUGUUCUGUUGCUCUGCGUGUGCUGAAACAUUGAUUAAUGUGCACUGUCCCUGUAAAAAAAAAAAAAAAAUUAAACUUAAUGUGCAUGCAUGGCUUUUAAGUUAUGUGUGCUUGUCUUUUUAAAUGGUC
ensembl:lncRNA